GGUGUGAUUAGUUGGCGUUUCGCGGCGGACGCCGAUUAGCCCGCGCGCUUGUCCGCCAGUCCCACAAGCUGCCUAGACGUUGGAGGGGCUAGAUGGUGCUUGGUCUGAAGAUGUUGAAAAACGUAGAGCCUGAGCCGAACCCCGAGUUUCAGCAACCUGGAGCUCGAGGACUGUAACCUGGGGAGGUCACAGGGUGGCCGCGAUGGCUUUAGAAUCCGGCUUUCUUGUUCCCAAGCAAACGCUUUGCCAUGUCAUCACCUGCCACCCCUCACUUGUAAAUCCAGGUCAGCUCGUUUAUCUUUUCCUUUUGCUGAGCCCAGACGUACCUUUUCUGACGGUUACUUCGCCACCUCGCCUCUCGGAGCGGUAUUCCGCUUCCUCGCUGGUGAGUGUGUCGGAAUUCCCCCUGGAAAGCGGCUUGGCAAUGUCAGUAAAAAUACUGUGUUCCUAUCCGGGAAUUACAUUUCUGGAAGACUACUCCGUGGGCGUAAACAUACAGAGAGAACUAUUCGUAGCAGGAUUACCUAUUAGUGUGAUGGUAAAUGUGGAAGCAGUCUAAAAACUCGACACUAAAGAAUGGUUAAGUAAAUAAUGUCCAUUCAAUGGAAUUGUUUUAUGUACACAUCCUUGGCCUACUUAUAUUAAGACAUUCAGUGACCACUCUUAAGACGUAGCUUCCCACUUAAUUCCUCCAUGGUCGUCCUUAAAAGCAGUAAUUACUUGGAUUAUUUGUUUACCUGUUUAUCGUCUGCCUCCGUCUCUGGAGUGGUAGCUCUGUUAAGGUAAAGGGCCUUGUCCUUUUGUUCACCAUUGUAUCCCCGAGCAGCUGAUAGGGCCAACACCUAAGUGGACAUUCAGUAAAUUUGUUAAAUAGCUUUUGAACCAUAGAUAAUUAUGGAGAGACUAAUAACGUGGACAAUGCUUAUUCAAAAACAAAUUCCAAGAGAUAAUUAUAAAAAACAAAACAGGAAUUCUCUGGUGGCUCAGCAGGUUAAGGAUCUGGAGUUGUCACUGCUAUGUCUUGGGUCAUUGCUAUGGGGCAGGUUUGAUUCCUGGCCAGGGAAUUUCUGCAUGCCACAGCCAAGGCUACCCCCACCCCCCAAAGAAAAUAUAUAGAAAAAUACAUAAGAAAGUCACUGUCUUUUGUAUAGAGGUCUUCUUAAACAAGCCAACCUUUUUUUUUUUUUUGGCUGCACCUGUAGCAUAUGGAAGUUCCUGGGCCAGGGAUCCAACCCACACCGCAGCAGUGACAACACUGGAUCCUUAAUCUGCUUAAGCCACAAGGGAACUCCUGCAAAAUCACUUUUAAACACUUGAUAUAUUUUACUAAAAAAAAUUUUACACCAAAAAACAAACUCUAAAACCUAAAAACAGGAGUUCCUGCUUGGUGCAGUGGGUUAAUGAUCCAGCUUGUCUCUGUGGAGGUGCCAGUUUAAUCCCUGGCCUGGGAACCUCCAUAUGCCGUGGGAGCAGCCCUAGAAAAGGCAAAAAGACCAAAAAANAAAAAAAAAAAAAAAAAAAAAAAAAAAG
rnacentral:lncRNA from 1 species